ACAUGUCAUAGAUAGGAAAUGAUGAAACAGGAUUGUCUACCUUGUAACAUAAACGUAAUCAUGUGUGUCGUGAUUUCCCUGGCUGACCAAUCACGUCACGUGC